UACGUAGGAGGCAAGCGUUGUCCGGAAUUACUGGGUGUAAAGCGCGUGUAGGUGGGAGGCCAAGUCUGUGGUGAAAGCGCCCGGCUCAACUGGGCAGAGUCCAUGGAAACUGGUCACCUGGAGGACGGUAGAGGCGAGUGGAAUUCCCGGUGUAGUGGUGAAAUGCGUAGAGAUCGGGAGGAACACCAGUGGCGAAGGCGGCUCGUUGGGCCGGUCCUGACACUGAGACGCGAAGGCGUGGGGAGCGAACGGG
rnacentral:rRNA from 1 species